CUAACUUUCUUUUUGUUCAAGGUGUUUUAUCAUAACUUGUUAAAGGGUUUAUAAUUUCCAUCUUCACAUUUUGAUAGAUGAGAGCAACUUUCUCAUCCUUUAAAUACUGUAUUUGAAAUCCUGGGAUAAUAUGAAGAAGAUAAACAAGCCAUAAUUUGGUGAUUUUCCACUAUAACAUGUGUGAGAAAUGAAUCUCUUCCAAAAGACUGAUAAAUCUGAAUGAGUGAUCACAUAACCACUUAUCAGAAAGGAUCUCAGGCCUCUCAACUGAGGGAAAACCUAAUGAAUUCUGACACAAGUCUCCCUUCUCCACAGGAAAACAACAAUGGCAAUCACUACUACAAAGACAACGACAGCAACACAAAGUCCAAUGAUCAUAAUCAGGGUGUCAUUGCUGCUGGAUGUACUGGUUGCUGGAAAAAAAGAUAUUAAAU